GCUUGGCCAUCACCAGGCCAGACUCCUAGUGGAGGGCAAGUGGCAGAUGUUCUCCACCGCAGGACCGGACACAGGUUGGCACUGAAGAUGCUGCCCCAGGAGAGGUGGGAGAGCCCCACGGCCAGGUGCCCACAGGUGGGUGCUUGGCACGAGUCAGCAUCAGGAGGGGGGUCCACCUCCCUCCCCCCGUGGGAUCCCCAAAUCCCAAGAGCACCUCCUGGGGAGAGCUGGAGCCCUAGGCGGCUCGUACCCCCAUUAAAUUACACCCGCUCAAGCCCCUGGAGGGCCUUUGCCCCGUCUCCGGCAGCGGGACUCGAACCUACGUCCCGCACACAAACAAACUCGGGUGGGCUCGCGCGCUGCCUCCCCCGCCCGCGGUCAGAGGGCUGUAACGACCGGCCGCGAGCCCCUCCACUUAUGAGGUCACAGAGGCCUUUAGCCAACCGCAGCGUACCCCUGCGGCUGUGAUUUGCAUAUCCGCGUCCGGAGGCCAAUCGCUCGGAAAAGGGAGCUGCGAAACCGGCUCCCACCCCAACC